UUUGUGUUUUUAUGUUUCAUCUAGGUCAUUAAUUUUGAUGGAUUUUUAUGGUUUAUUUUGAUAAUUACCAAUAAUGGAUAUAUGCUAACCAGAUGAGCACCAGAUUUUUUCAACAGAUUUGUGAUUGAAAUAUUAAACAUAUUUACGGUAAUCAAAGAAUAAGUCAGAUAGAUUGAUAUUACACGCGAUAACAUCAGGUUUAUUUAUAGAAGCACCCAUAUUGUUUCAUUUGUUGUAGUCAUGUCGUAAGAGAAGAAACUGACAAAUUGAACCUUUCAUUAAAAAAAGCAACAAAUCCAAAGUAUAAAAAAACUUUAAAAUGAUGGCGAAGAAAAAAAUAUAGCUGUUUGCGCCUCUGUUUCUGACCGUGCAAAUACUGGAUUUAGUUUAUCUUCAGCGUAAUUGACGAAAUUGACAACACUCCGGAUCAAUAAAACAUACUUGUCCUCGGGCGUUUCUACUUAGAUAUGAUCGUACUUUUAUUUCUGAAGCACGGAUAAAGUCAUGUAGGAAGCAGCUUAUUUCACUACAUAUUCGAGACACCGGAAAAUAAAAAAGAACAGUGAUAGGUGGAUCUGACUGCAUAUUAAAUGACACCGUGACAAUUCUUGAAACAUUUAUUUACCAAAAAUACAAAAACUAGUGAUAUACAACAAUAUGCAUAUGACAAACAUAAAAACAUAUUGUUUAAAAGUCUAAAUAAAAUAAAAUGUAUA